UUUCCGUAGGUGAACCUGCGGAAGGAUCAUUAUUAUAUAACCGAGGUGCGAGGGCUACAACUGAACCAAAAAGUAGUACACUUUUGAGUGCCAUUACUUACAUUCAUUUUAUCUCUAUUUGCAACACAGCGUAGGUCCCCAUUUGACUUGUUCGGAGGGGGGUUUACGUUUUCACACAAACUUUGUAUGCUUUGUAGAAUUUAUUUUUUGUUUUUUCGAUCACGCAAUCAAUACAACUUUCAACAACGGAUCUCUUAGCUCUCGCAUCGAUAAAGAACC
rnacentral:misc_RNA from 1 species